rnacentral:rRNA from 1 species
AUAUAAUUUAUUAAAAAAAAUAUUUUUAAUAUAUUUUUUUUUGUAUUAUUAAAAGAUAAAAUAAUUAUAAUAAUAGUUUAUUAGUAUUGUAAAAGAAUAUUUAAAAUAUUUAAAAAGUAGAUUUAAUUAAUUGUACCUUGGGUAUCAGGGUUUAUUAAUAUAAGAAUAUAUUUAUUAUUUUUCUCGAAUUUAAAAGGGUAAAUAUAUUAUUUAAUAUACUGUAUUAUAAUUAUUUAUAAUAAUAUAUUAGUAAUGAAAUGUUAUUCGUUUUUAAAGAUAUCUAGUUUUUUUAGAAAUAAAUUUAAUUUAGAAAAUUUUAAUAUUUAUUUUAAUUGUUAAAUUAAGUAUUUAAAAUUUUUGAUAUUUUUAGGGAUAAGCUUAAAAAUAAUUGUUAUAAUUUGUUUAUAUAGUUAAUAGAUUUAUAGGGUUAGAAAUAUUCAUUAAUUUAAAAAUGUUAUAAUUUAUUUAUUAAUAAAAAGUAUUUUAAAAGAUUUGAAUUUUUAUAAAAAAAAUUAUUUUAAUAAAUAAAAUAAUGUUAUAAUGAUAAAAUUAGUAUAAUAAUUUAUAUAAAUAAAGUGGUAAUUGGUUGAUUAUUAUAAGGAAUUCGGCAAAUAUAAUAUUCACCUGUUUAACAAAAACAUGUCUUUUUGAUUAUAAUAAAAAGUCUAAUCUGCCCAUUGAAUUUUUUAAAAGGCCGCGGUAUUUUGACUGUGCAAAGGUAGCAUAAUCAAUAGUUUCUUAAUUAGAAGCUGGAAUGAAUGAUUGAAUGAAAUAUUAACUGUCUUAUUUUAAUAAAAGUAGAAUUUAAUUUUUAAAUUAAAAAGUUUAAAUAAUUUUGAAGGACGAGAAGACCCUUUAAAGCUUUAUAUUAAAAUUUAUAUAAUUUAAAAAUAAAAUUAUAUUUAUGUAAACUUAAAUAUUUUAUUGGGGUGAUAGGAAAAUUUAUAUAACUUUUUAUAUAAUAAAACAUUAAUUAAUGAUUUAUUGAUCCAUAAAUUAUGAUUAGAAGAUUAAGUUACUUAAGGGAUAACAGCGUAAUAUUUUUUGAGAGAACUUAUCGAUAAAAAAGUUUGCGACCUCGAUGUUGGAUUAAGAUAAAUUUUAGGUGUAGCAGUUUAAAGGUUAGGUCUGUUCGACCAUUUAUUCUUACAUGAUCUGAGUUCAGACCGGUGUGAGCCAGGUUGGUUUCUAUCCUCAGGAUUUUAUAAUUAAUUAGUACGAAAGGACCAUUAAUUAGUAAUAUUUAUAUUAUAAAGAAUAAAAUUA